ensembl:scaRNA small Cajal body-specific RNA 15
CUGGAGACUAAGAAAACAGAGUCCUUGAAGUCAAGCCGACUCUGCUGUUAGCCUCCUAAAGGAAAAGGUAGAUAGAACAGGUCUUGUUUGCAAAAUUAAUUCAAGACCUACUUAUCUACCAACAGCA